AGCAGCCGCGGUAAUUCCAGCUCCAAUAGCGUAUAUUAAAGUUGUUGCAGUUAAAAAGCUCGUAGUUGAAUUUCGGGGUCAGUAGGUCGGUCGUGCCACUGGUAUGUACUGGCUUCACUGAUUCCUCCCUCUUGUAGAACCGUGAUGCCAUUAAUUUGGUGUUGCGGGGAAACAGGACUGUUACUUUGAAAAAAUUAGAGUGUUUAAAGCAAGCUAACGCUUGAAUACAUUAGCAUGGAAUAAUGAAAUAGGACGUCGAUCUUAUUUUGUUGGUUUCUAGGGUUGACGUAAUGAUUAAUAGGGAUAGUUGGGGGCAUUAGUAUUCAAUUGUCAGAGGUGAAAUUCUUGGAUUUAUUGAAGACUAACUGCUGCGAAAGCAUUUGCCAAGGAUGUUUUCAUUAAUCAAGAACGAAAGUUAGGGGAUCGAAGACGAUCAGAUACCGUCGUAGUCUUAACCAUAAACUAUGCCGACUAGGGAUCGGAUGAUGUUAAUUUUUAAUGACUCAUUCGGCGCCUUACG
rnacentral:rRNA from 1 species